rnacentral:rRNA from 1 species
AUUGAACGCUAGCGGGAUGCUUUACACAUGCAAGUCGAACGAGUAGCGGACGGGUGAGUAAUAUCUCUGAACGUGCCCAGUAUCGGGGGAUAACUAAGCGCAAGCAUGGCUACUACCGCCUACUGUUGGGGCGGCCGAUAUGGGAUUAGCUAGUUGGUGGGGUAACGGCUCACCAAGGCAAAGAGCCUUAGCUGGUAUGAGAGGACGACCAGCCACACUGGGACUGAGACACGGACCAGAAUCCUACGGGAGGCAGCAGUGGGGAAUUUUGGACAAUGGAGGAAACCCUGAUCCAGCCAGCCCGCGUGUAUGAGAAUGCUUUCGGGGUGUAAAGUACUGUUGGCAGAGAAGCGGUAUCUGCAGAAGAAGCACCGGCUAACUACGUGCCAGCCGCCGCGGUAAUUC